rnacentral:rRNA from 1 species
UACGUAGGGUGCAAGCGUUGUCCGGAAUUAUUGGGCGUAAAGAGCUCGUAGGCGGUUUGUCGCGUCUGCUGUGAAAACGCGGGGCUCAACUCCGCGCCUGCAGUGGGUACGGGCAGACUAGAGUGCGGUAGGGGAGAUUGGAAUUCCUGGUGUAGCGGUGAAAUGCGCAGAUAUCAGGAGGAACACCGAUGGCGAAGGCAGCCUCCUGGGCCAACACUGACGCUCAUGCACGAAGCGUGGGAGCAAACAG